CAAUAGCGUAUAUUAAAGUUGUUGCGGUUAAAAAGUUCGUAGUUGGAUUUCUGCCAAGGACGACCGGUCCGCCCUCUGGGUGAGUAUCUGGCUUGGCCUCGGCAUCUUCUUGGAGAACGUUGCUGCACUUCGCUGUGUGGCGCGGUAUCCAGGACCUUUACUUUGAGGAAAUUAGAGUGUUUCAAGCAGGCAUCCGCCUUGAAUACAUUAGCAUGGAAUAAUAAGAUAGGACCUCGGUUCUAUUUUGUUGGUUUCUAGAGCUGGGGUAAUGAUUAAUAGGGAUAGUUGGGGGCAUUCGUAUUUAACUGUCAGAGGUGAAAUUCUUGGAUUUAUGAAAGAUGAACUACUGCGAAAGCAUUUACCAAGGAUGUUUUCAUUA
rnacentral:rRNA from 1 species